CCCUUAGAUGGUCUGGGCGGCACGCGCGCUACAAUGAUGCAUUCAAAAAGUCUUCUGACCUUAGAAGGUUGGGUAUUCUCCAAAGUGCAUCGUGAUGGGAAUAGUUUAUUGCAAUUUUUAAUCUUGAACGAGGAAUUCCUAGUAAGUACAGGUCAUCAACUUGUGUUGAUUACGUCCCUGCCCCUUGUACACACCGCCCGUCGCUCCUACUGAUUGAGUGUCUCGGUGAAUUCUUUGAUCUUCUGUCGAUUCAGUUCACUGAUCCGACGGUGGAAAGUUGAAUGAACUUCGUCACUUAGAGGAAGGAGAAGUCGUAACA
rnacentral:rRNA from 1 species